AACUCCAGGGGGACAAAGGAAAAAUAAAUGACAGUGACUGCGUAUUCCAUUGCAUUCUCUUACCCUGUAGAAAAGACUAUAUAAAAGGGACCCAUAGGCUUUGACAGACUGCCGAAGACAUCCAGGGCACAGCAAAGGCGAAGGAUCCCAGAGCUAAGAGGAGAAGCACUGUGGUGGAGCCGGGGUUAGGAUGGCUGCAAAGGGGCACAUUCCAUCCAAAAUUACAGCGUGCACCUAGGACUGUACCAGGAAGGGAUUAGCUACCCCAAGGCCCUGGACUGAAGGAGGCUGGGCCAUUCCAUCGUGAUCUCCUGCAUCCUCUACUGCUUGUUCCUCGCUGGCUCCCUUUGGAUAUUCCUGGGCGGUUUCUGUUUGGACCUGACCUCCUGGGGCGUUAAGCGAUUGGAUCAGCCCCAUCGGGGACUCAGAACGGAGCUUGUGAGUCCCAUCUGCGGCUUAAUAAUAAUAUAGAGAAUUCAACACAGUUUUCAAGGAUCUGGAGUUAAGAUGACCAAAAACUCUCUCCUGAUGAGCAUCCUGCAGAAUCAGCAACGUCUGAAGGCAUCUAUUCUUUAUAGUCACUAAAACAGGUAAAGUGCCAUAGGCUGGACCAAGAGAAGAGGACACCUUCUGUUGCCCCAUCUUCCUUCACUUCAGUAAAGAGAAAAAAGCGGGAUAGGGACUUAGAUGGAUUCUCAUUUGUCCCAGGCCCAGCAUUCUCCUCAAAAGUUCCUCCAAAGACAGCUGAAUAAGAUCCAGAAGUCUUCCUGCCAAGGCAAGGGAGACUUCCAUCCAUCCCUCAAUGGUUCCAUCCCAUCAAGAUCUCAUCCCCACUACCAGCAGCAGAUCUUCUCUCAUUAAAUUCCUCUUGACUCAUGA